CUCAGCCUCCCAAAGUGCUGGGAUUACAGGCGUGAGCCACCGUGCCCAGCCCUUUUUUCUUUUUAUAAGAUUGAAUUCCUCCUUCUCUUUCAAAUAGAAUACUGAGAUAUUAGAGUUCAGCUAUUUAGAAGGAAGUCUGAACAUUUUCUCUUUGGAAGUAUAGUUUAUUUUCCUAGUUCCUUUAGUUUCACAGAAAGUAUCAGUAAACUAUUUCCGAUUGAAUAUUUUUCUCAAAUAAAUGUGCAGUUUUUUGUGAGCAGAAUAUGUUCCCACCAUUGCUUUGCUUGGUAAUUAGUCAUCUGAGAUAUUCCGAGAGCAACUCUGACAACAAAGAUAGAGUAAUAGGCAGUAACAUGAGUUAAGAGAAAAAAAGGAAUGUCCUAUAGCAUCCUUAGGUAAACAUUAUGAAAAUUUGCUGAUCCACAAAAUUGUUUUAAUUGAAACCAACUUUGUCUAAACCUUGAGAAAGCAAAUCUGCAAAUCAGGGCUGAGCAACAGAAUUAUAUAGCUAUGUUAUUUGGAAAUUUGUUUCUAAUUCUUGGUCACCUUUUGGGCUCAGCCCCAAAGUAUGAGUUGAAUAUGAGUGUUUUAAUCAAGAUAGGACCAUUGAUUGAUACUUCCAAAGUUGAUAGAAAUCUUCAGUAAUGUGUGAGAACAAAGGUAAAGUUGGAGCCAACUUUUUAGAGUUUCUUAUUCUUAUUGAUUCACAGGAAGUGAGUUUAUUUUGUUAUUUUCACAUUGGAGUCUCAGUUCCACCAGCUCAUUGGCUAACUGGAGCAUUAACUAAAAAAGACCUUUUAUUGUUCAUAUAACUUAACUUGGAGAGCUUUCAACCAACAGUAUCCCAUAUGGCCAUGUAACAUACAUUCAUGUAUGUCUCACCUUGAUCUAAGAGGGAUUGGCGUGAGUUACAGUAUACAUGAAACAUAGUGGAGUAAAAUAAAUAUGCUUGGAAAUUGAAGCACAAAGGUAAAUAAAAAUAAAGCCAAUAGCCACAAAUUUGACUCUAAGCAUCCCAGUAGCCAAAAUAGUGGGGAAAGCCAAGGACAGGACAAGAUUCACAAAGACCAUCAGAUUAAAACAGAUCAGUUAUAAAUUGGACUACAUCAAAAUUAAAAACUCUGUACUGCAAAUGGUACUAUCAAGAAAAUGAAAAGACAUCCCACAGAAUGGUUGAAAAUGUUUUCAAAUCAUAUAUCUCCUAAGAGAUUGGUAUCUAGAAAAUAUACUCUUACAACUGAAUAAGAAGACAACCCAGUUAAAAAUGGGUAAAGAAUUGAAUUGACAUUUUUCCCAUGAAGACAUACAAAUGGCACAUGAAAUGAUGUUUGACAUCAUUAGACAUUCAGAAAAUGCUAAUCAAAACCACAAUGGGAUACCACUUCACAGUCAGUAGGAUGGCUGUGAAAAGACAGCAGUUAAUAAGAAGUGUUGAUGAGAAUGUGGAGAAAUUGGGACCUUCUUAACACUGCUGGUGGAAAUGUAAAAUGGUACAGCUGCUUUGGAAAACAUUCUGACAGGUCUUCAAAUGAUUAAACAUAGAAUUGACUUAUUACUCAGCAAUUCCAGUCAUAGCUACAUACCCCACAAAGAAAUGAAAAUAUGUCCUCGCAAAAACUUGUACACAAAUGUUCAUAAAUGGCAUUCAACAUAAUAGCCAAAAAGCAGAAAAAAGCAAUUGUCCAUAAACUGGAUAAACAAAAUGUGGUAAACGCAAUGGAAUACUAUUCAGCCAUAAAAAGGAAUUAAAUGCAGGUAUACAUGUCAACAUGACUGAACCUUGAAAACAUUAUGCUAAGUGAAAGAAGUCAGUCACUACAGACCACAUAUUAUAUGAUGCCACUCAUUUGAAAUGUCCAGAACAGACCAAUCUAGAGAGAAAGUAGAUUCGUGUUCAACCAGGAUUAAGGGGAAGAGGUGAGGGAAGGAAAUGGGAAGUGAGUGCUAAUAAGUGGGGGAUUUCUCAUUGGGGCAAUGAAAAUAUUCUAAGCACAGAUUGUGGUGAUGGUUGCACAGCUCUACUAUAUUAAAACCAUUGACUUGUAUACUUUAAACAAGUGAGUUUUGUGGUAUAUGAAUUCUAUUUCAGUUAAGAUGUUAAAAAGGAAAACAAAAGUUCGGGUCAUUUGAUAUGACUGUUUCUUAUAAUGGCCCUUACUGCAGGCUGCUAUCUUUAUACCCAAUGUGAAUAGCAAUUCUGGGAGGGCCCCAAACAAGGUAAUAUCAUACACAUUUUACCGUGUAGCUUUUAAGCUCUAAUUAGACCAACACUCAGUGUAGAGUUUCAGCAAUGCUUUGUUCUCCCACUUCCUAACAGUUACAUCAGUGAUGUGCUGUGAGAAGGCACUGUAGCUUUCUUGUCAAGGGUAUUUGUUCUACUUAAGGAGAUUAGAGAGGGUGUGACAGUGAUUUAAUACAUGCCUGCCUAUGGUUGACAAAUGAAAGCACUUCAUAAGUAGAUUUCAGUUAUCCAUUUUUCACAUUCCAUUAGGUAGUUAAUGUAGUUCUUUCAGUUUCUCUUCUCAUAUUGAUAUAUAAAGCCUUGGGAAUAGCAGCAAACUGUUACUGCUCAUUAUUCUUCACUGCCUUCUUUUGGCAAAUUGGUACUGGAGUAACUGACAGGGUUCUCCUAAUAGGAUCUUUCUUGUGGCACCCUGUACCUUUUCAUAUAUUAGCGUUUUUACUGUCUGAGAAAGGAGAUGCAAGGAAGUUUACCUGUUGGUACUAAUUUUUAAGUUGCUUCCUUUUCCAUUGCUAAGAAAGAAGAGGGCUUUCUUAGUUACUGGCCAACUCUCUUGAACACUGUAUGGAAGCCAUAUGGAUUGGAAACAUUAGCCUCUGCUAUAUUUUUAUAGCAGAUGGGUACACACAUUUGCAUUAGGAAUUCAAUAGUUCUAUGCUUUUGUUAGCUUUGUACUCCACUCCUGGACAAGAAAUAACCCUUCACAUGGAACCUAUUUUUCUCUCCUUCCAAAUGCCAGUCUGCUGUUCAAAG
rnacentral:lncRNA from 1 species